rnacentral:rRNA from 1 species
AUUGAACGCUGGCGGAUGCUUUACAUGCAAGUCGAACGGCAGCACGGACUUCGGUCUGGUGGCGAGUGGCGACGGUGGGUAAUGUAUCGGAACGUACCUAGUAGCAGGGGAUAACUACGCGAAAGCGUAGCUAAUACCACGCAUACGCCCUUCGAAGCGGGGACCUUCGGGCCUCGCACUAACAUUAGAGCGGCCGAUGUCGGAUUAAGCUAGUUGGUGGGGUAACGGCUCACCAGAGCGGCGAUCCGUAGCUGGUUUGAGAGGACGACCAGCCACACUGGGACUGAGACACGGCCCAGACUCCUGCAGGAGGCAGCAGUGAAAUUUUGGACAAUGGGGGAAACCCUGAUCCAGCCAUCCCCGCGUGUGCGAUGAAGGCCUUCGGGUUAUGCAGCACUUUUGGCAGAAAAAGCAGCCUGGGAUAAUACCCCGUGCAACUGACAGUACCUGCAGAAUAAGCACCGGCUAACUACGUGCCAGCAGCCGCGGUAAUACGUAGGGUGCAAGCGUUAAUCAGAAUACUGGGCGUAAAAGCGUGCGCAGGCGGUUCGGAAAGAAAGAUGUGAAAUCCCAGAGCUUAACUUUGGACUUUGCAUUUAACUACCGAGCUAGAGUGUGUCAGGAGGUGGAAUUCCGCGUGUAGCAGUGAAAUGCGUAGAUAUGCGGAGGAACACCGAUAGCGAAGGAAGGCAACCUCCUGGGAUAACACUGACGCUCAUGCACGAAAGCGUGGGGAGCAAACAGGAUUAGAUACCCUGGUAGUCCACGCCUAAACGAUGUCAACUAGCUGUUGGGGCCUUCAGCGGGCCUUGGUGGCCGCACCCCGGCUAACGUGAGGAUUGACCGCCUGAAAGAUACGGUCAUAAGAUUAAAACUCCAAAGGAAUUGGCGGGGACCCGCACAAGCGGUGGAUCAGUAUGGAUUAAUUCGAUGCAACGCGAAAACCUUACCUACGCCGACGUGUCUGGAAUCCCGAAGAGAUUUGGGAGUGCUCGCAAGAGAGGCCGGAACACAGGUGCUGCAUGGCUGUCGUCAGCUCGUGUCGUGAGAUGUUGGGUUAAGUCCCGCAACGAGCGCAACCCUUGUCAUUAGUUGCUACGAAAAGGGCACUCUAAUGAGACUGCCGGUGACAAACCGGAGGAAGGUGGGGAUGACGUCAGAGUCUCAUGGCCCUUAUGGGUAGGGCUUCACACGUCAUACAAUGGUCGGGACAGAGGGUCGCCAACCCGCGAGGAGCCAAUCCCAGAAAACCCGAUCGUAGUCCGGAUCGCAGUCUGCAACUCGACUGCGUGAAGUCGGAAUCGCUAGUAAUCGCGGAUCAGCAUGUCGCGGUGAAUACGUUCCCGGGUCUUGUACACACCGCCCGUCACACCAUGGGAGUGGGUUUUACCAGAAGUAGUUAAGCCUAACCGUAAGGAGGGCGAUUACAGUAGGAUUCUGGGGUGAAGUCGUAACAAGGUAG